rnacentral:rRNA from 1 species
ACCCGCGUACAUGCCACCGGGGCAUCCCGGAGGCAGGAAAGGCUUCGGCCGGACAGGGAUGGGCAUGCGGCGCAUUAGGCAGUAGGCGGGGUAACGGCCCACCUAACCGACGAUGCGUAGGGGUUCUGAGAGGAAGGUCCCCCACACUGGUACUGAGACACGGACCAGACUCCUACGGGAGGCAGCAGUGAGGAAUAUUGGUCAAUGGUCGGGAGACUGAACCAGCCAAGCCGCGUGAGGGAGGAAGGUACAGAGUAUCGUAAACCUCUUUUGUCAGGGAACAAAGACUGGGACGCGUCCCCGGAUGAGUGUACCUGAAGAAAAAGCAUCGGCUAACUCCGUGCCAGCAGCCGCGGUAAUACGGAGGAUGCGAGCGUUAUCCGGAUUUAUUGGGUUUAAAGGGUGCGCAGGCGGUCUGUUAAGUCAGCGGUCAAAGCCCGGGGCUCAACCCCGGCCCGCCGUUGAAACUGGCAGUCUCGAGUUGGAGAGAAGUAUGCGGAAUGCGCGGUGUAGCGGUGAAAUGCAUAGAUAUCGCGCAGAACUCCGAUUGCGAAGGCAGCAUGCCGGCUCCACACUGACGCUGAGGCACGAAAGCGUGGGUAUCGAACAGGAUUAGAUACCCUGGUAGUCCACGCAGUAAACGAU